CAGUGAGCUAAGAUUGUGCCACUGCACUCCAAUAAUUUUCCCCCUCAAGUAACUGGACGAAGAAAAGAAUGGUAAGAGCAAAUAUGCUGCGUUUUAAGGGCUGUAGAGUCAAAGGACAUUUUUAUUUAACGUAUGACAUUAAGAAUACCUAAAACUCUUUGAAAAGAAAAAAGCAGAUGGUGCUGGGGAAUGAGAGAAGAUACACAUGGAAGAGAUCAUAUCCAAGAACAAGGUUUAGAAGAGAAAUUGAGACCAACAGCAAAAGCAACAGGCCACUAAACAGCCUCUGCAGAGAAAAAGACACUAUCAACAGAGUAAACACACAGCCUACAGAAUGGGAGAAAAUACUCACAAACUACAUAUCUGACAAAGGCCUAAUAUCUAGAAUCUAUGAGGAACUUAAACAAUUUAACAAGAAAAAACAAAUAACUCCAUUAAAAAAAUGGGCAAAGGAUAUGAACAGACACUUCUCAAAAGAAGACAUAAGUGGCCAACAUGAAAAAAUGCUCCCUAUCACUCAUCAUCAGAGAAAUAUAAAUCAAAACCACUAAGAGAUACCAUCUCACAUCAGUCAGAAUGGCUAUGACCCAAAAGUCAAAAUUCCUGUAUAGGUCAAGAAAUAACAUUAAUAUUUUUAUUAGACCAUUUUUAUUAAAAUACAUUAGUCCAUGUAUUAGACACUUGGGCUCAAAAUUCAAACAUUCUGAGAACAUUAGUUCCUUUCUCUGUUUAUUAUAUAAUAUGAUACAUUCAGGAGUAUAAAGAAGUAUGUUUCAUUCACUAUCCACAAAUACUGAAACUCACAAGUAUUACAACAUUUUUGUUGGGAGGGCAGAUAUGUCUGAGCCAUAUGUAGCUGCAACACAAGGUUAACUGAGUAAUGUUCACCUUUUCUGGACAUUAAAAGAUAGCCAUCUUGUUUGUAUAUGUUGUACUGAUACAUACAUCUGAAAAGACUUACAUUAGUGUGUUGCAGGGGAAAACAUGUGAACAAUUUGCUAACUGUUUACUGCAUUCAGCCUGCCACAGAGUCGACACUCCGGAAUAUAUCUCCAACCACAUAUAUGGUUGGAAUUAAACUGUGUAAUAUAAAACAUAGCUACUUUUUAGGUCUUUUCCUUUUUACCUUGUCAACUUUAUUCACUGAAUUGGAGAAUCUCUACAUCUCAGGCAUACAUAAGUAAAUAUUCAAUAAAACAUGAGACACCUCUUAGAGAGCCAAAAAGCCAAGACAGGUAUUGUUAAAUGCUAAAUGACCCAGUGCUACUCCAGACAAUGCAAAUGAUAGCUGCUGCUGCUUGAAUAAGGCUUGCCCGCACACAUUUCCGAGUAUGGAAACCAUUUGUUAAUGAGCAGCUAUAAUUUAGGCCUACGGCUUUAUGAAAAGAAAACAUUUAUACAUUUGCAGAACAGUGUAAUAAGAUUUCACAAAUGCAAAGAUAAAAUGUGCUAUCAUUUAUCUUGGCUUAUAAUAUCUGGGGUUUGAUUGCCUUGUGAAAUGUCCAAAUCAAGAACAAUUAUAGAUUUUUCUCACACCACAUACACCAUGAAACAUUUAACAAGUACUUCUUUUAGACUAUUCAAAAGAUUAGAAAGGAAGAAAAUUAUGUAUUCAGUGGUAGACUAAACCAUUAAGAUGUGAAUAUGAUAUGAUAUAAAGGGGAAAAAUAAAGAGAACUAAGACUAGCAAAGAAAAUGGUCACUGACCAUUUUUUUAAACCAUUCGUUUAGGGAAAGAAUAAUCUUGUAACAUAUCAGGCUAUGUGAACUUUUCUCUUGGGCUGAAAUUGGGCACCUUGAAACAAAAGCAUCAUUUGCAAACAAACAAACAAA
rnacentral:lncRNA from 1 species